rnacentral:rRNA from 1 species
GAUUAAGCCAUGCUGUGUAGUAUAAAUAGUUAACUUUGAACUGCGAAUGGCUCAUUAUAUCAGUUAUAGUUUAUUUGAUGAAGAAUACUAAUUGGAUAACCGUAGUAAUUCUAGAGCUAAUACAUGUAUAAAGUCUUGUAGACUGCAUUUAUUAGAAUGAAAACCAUAGGUUUCGGCCUAUUCGUGAGUAAUAAUAACUAAUCAUAUCGUAUGCUUAUGUAACGAUGUGUCUUUCAAGUUUCUGCCCUAUCAGCUUUCGAUGGUAGUGUAUUGGACUACCAUG